UAGAGUUUGAUCCUGGCUCAGGAUGAACGCUGGCGGCGUGCUUAACACAUGCAAGUCGAACGAACCUUCGGGUUAGUGGCGGACGGGUGAGUAACGCGUGAGAAUCUGCCCUCAGGAGGGGGAUAACGGCUGGAAACGGCCGCUAAUACCCCAUAUGCCGAGAGGUGAAACGAAUUUCGCCUGAGGAUGAGCUCGCGUCUGAUUAGCUAGUUGGUGGGGUAAAGGCCUACCAAGGCAUCGAUCAGUAGCUGGUCUGAGAGGAUGAUCAGCCACACUGGGACUGAGACACGGCCCAGACUCCUACGGGAGGCAGCAGUGGGGAAUUUUCCGCAAUGGGCGCAAGCCUGACGGAGCAACGCCGCGUGAGGGAUGAAGGCCUCUGGGCUGUAAACCUCUUUUAUCAAGGAAGAAGAUCUGACGGUACUUGAUGAAUAAGCCACGGCUAAUUCCGUGCCAGCAGCCGCGGUAAUACGGGAGUGGCAAGCGUUAUCCGGAAUUAUUGGGCGUAAAGCGUCCGCAGGCGGCCUUGUAAGUCUGUCGUUAAAGCGUGGAGCUUAACUCCAUUUAAGCGAUGGAAACUGUAAGACUAGAGUGUGGUAGGGGCAGAGGGAAUUCCCGGUGUAGCGGUGAAAUGCGUAGAUAUCGGGAAGAACACCAGUGGCGAAGGCGCUCUGCUGGGCCAUAACUGACGCUCAUGGACGAAAGCCAGGGGAGCGAAAGGGAUUAGAUACCCCUGUAGUCCUGGCCGUAAACGAUGAACACUAGGUGUCGGGGGAAUCGACCCCCUCGGUGUCGUAGCCAACGCGUUAAGUGUUCCGCCUGGGGAGUACGCACGCAAGUGUGAAACUCAAAGGAAUUGACGGGGGCCCGCACAAGCGGUGGAGUAUGUGGUUUAAUUCGAUGCAACGCGAAGAACCUUACCAGGGUUUGACAUCCUGCGAAUCUCUUGGAAACGAGAGAGUGCCUUCGGGAACGCAGUGACAGGUGGUGCAUGGCUGUCGUCAGCUCGUGUCGUGAGAUGUUAGGUUAAGUCCCGCAACGAGCGCAACCCACGUCGUUAGUUGCCAGCAUUUAGUUGGGCACUCUAGCGAGACCGCCGGUGAUAAACCGGAGGAAGGUGUGGAUGACGUCAAGUCAUCAUGCCCCUUACAUCCUGGGCUACACACGUACUACAAUGCUACGGACAAAGGGCAGCAAACUCGCGAGAGCUAGCAAAUCCCAUAAACCGUGGCUCAGUUCAGAUCGUAGGCUGCAACUCGCCUACGUGAAGGAGGAAUCGCUAGUAAUCGCAGGUCAGCAUACUGCGGUGAAUACGUUCCCGGGCCUUGUACACACCGCCCGUCACACCAUGGAAGUUGGCCACGCCCGAAGCCGUUACUCCAACCCUUGUGGAGGAGGAUGUCGAAGGUGGGGCUGAUGACUGGGGUGAAGUCGUAACAAGGUAACCGUA
rnacentral:rRNA from 1 species